rnacentral:lncRNA from 1 species
AGUAUAUUGAUUAUUGAUUAUUGAUUAUACUGUCAUAAAUUUUCUAGGUGUUUCACAAAUACCUUGUUUUGUUCUCACAACAAUCCCAUGAGGAACGCAUCACUGUUACUGUUUUAUGAAAGAGGACAAGUUUGCUUUGUGUCUGAUACAGGAAUCAGAUUUUCUGACAACACAGAAUAUCAGGAGUAUAGACCUUGGAAUAUACAUUUCCGCAUUAAAGAAGUGACCAUAUCACCUGAUAUUAUGGAUUUAAACAACAGUUGACAGCUCAACUUUUCAAAUAAAGUCCUUUAGAAAUGUGAACUGACUUAUUCA